GUGAGCUGAGCAGCUGGAGCAGUACAUGUGUGCAGAGGAAGGAGCAGGAGCUGCAGUGUGGAGAGCGUGCAGGAGGGCCAGUGUGUGAACUCAUGUGGCGCGGACCAGGAGUGACGCAGCGGCGGAGUUCCCAGAGCAGGACAAGGGGUCAGAGCUGAGUGCAGCAACGCAUAGCGCCCACACUAGCGUGACCCAGGUUUGGAGACAGCCAGGCAGCGAUCGCUUCCACAGAGGCCUACUACGCACAGGCAGCUGCCGUGCGGCCGCGUCUAGGCGAGACUACAGUGACCAAGGGAUACUGCGUGACAUCCAGCUGGAGCUGGCAGAUGUGGAAGGUACUGGGCACCCUUACAACCACCUCAGGUUUGAGCCAGGGACACUGGGCAUCAGCAUUGUCACCACAGAUUUGAACCAGGGCUAUUGGGUACCCUCUCAGCAACCGCAGAACUGAGCCAGGGCUAUCACAAAGACACGUGUCUCCCCUUCUCUCCUUCCAUAUCUCACAUUAACACUGGGUUACCUACCCAAAGGCAGAUUCUGCUACCCAGCAACGGUGAAUGGGACAGUGACUGUGGGUGUAAACCCUAAUUACAGAAAAAAGGUUUACAUAAAAUGCAUUUGGAUUCUGAGGAUCUGGCAACAAGUGUGUGAGGACGUAAAAACCCAACCGCUCCAGGUUCAACAAGACAAAGGCCAAAAGGUUGCACCAAGGACACUGGAUGACUAAACUAAGUGACACAAGUGGACAGCACAAACACCUGGCCCAUCUCGGAGUGGCACUGCAGUGGCAGACAGGAUGGCAGUUUUAAAAACAAGGCCCCAAAAAGCAUAUAAUGCAAAGAGAAAAAAGAGGUGCUCCGAGGUCGCUGGAUGACUAAGCAGGACUUGGCAUCUGCCCACACUGCCAAAAGUACCAAAACCUGGUUCAAUGACCGUGGGAUUACUGUGCUGGAUUGAACCGCAAACUCGCCUGACCUGAACCCCAUAGAGAAUCUAUGGGGCAUUGCCGAGAGAAAGAUGAGAGACAUGAGACCAAACAAUGAAGAAGAGCUGAAGGCCGCUAUUGAAGCUUCCUGAGGUUCCAUAACACCUCAGCAGUGCCCCAGCUGAUAGAAUCCAUGCCAUGCCGCAUUGAGGCAGUAAUUCAUGCAAAAACUGGACCAAACCAAGUACUGAGUACAUAUGCAUGAUUAUACUAUUCAGAGGGCCGACAUUUCUGUAUUUAAAAUCCUUUAUUUAUUGAUUUUAUGUUAUAUUCUAAUUUUCUGAGAUUUUGGG